rnacentral:rRNA from 1 species
CGUGUAGGCGGUUGGUCAAGUCGGGUGUGAAAGCCCGGGGCUCAGCCUCGGAAGUGCAUCCGAAACUAGCCAGCUAGAGCGCGAUAGAGGAGGGUGGAAUUCCUGGUGUAGCGGUGAAAUGCGUAGAUAUCAGGAGGAACACCGGCGGCGAAGGCGGCCCUCUGGGUCGUUGCUGACGCUGAGACGCGAAAGCGUGGGGAGCAAACAGGAUUAGAUACCCUGGUAGUCCACGCUAUAAACGAUGGGUACUAGGUGUUCGGGGUGUUGACCCCCUGAGUGCCGCAGCUAACGCAUUAAGUACCCCGCCUGGGGACUACGGCCGCAAGGUUAAA